CCUACGGGUGACAGCAGUGAGGAAUAUUGGUCAAUGGGCGCGAGCCUGAACCAGCCAAGUCGCGUGAGGGAAGACGGUCCUAUGGAUUGUAAACCUCUUUUGUCGGGGGGCAAACGACGCCACGCGUGUCCUUCCGAGAGUACCCUACGAAAAAGCAUCGGCUAACUCCGUGCCAGCAGCCGCGGUAAUACGGAGGAUGCGAGCGUUAUCCGGAUUUAUGGGGUUUAAAGGGUGCGCAGGCGGAAGAUCAAGUCAGCGGGAAAAUUGCGAGGCUCAACCUCGUCGAGCCGUUGAAACUGGUGGUCUUGAGUGAGCGAGAAGUAGGCGGAAUGCGUGGUGUAGCGGUGAAAUGCAUAGAUAUCACGCAGAACUCCGAUUGCGAAGGCAGCAUACCGGCGCUUAACUGACGCUCAUGCACGAAAGUGUGGGUAUCGAACAGGAUUAGAUACCCCAGUAGUC
rnacentral:rRNA from 1 species